AUUAGCCUAGCUCUCCUUGAUAGCCAUCAUAGUGUGGCCAGCACUUGGCUCGAUCAAAUCUCCUCUUCCAAGCAAUCAACCACUCGAUGCAAACAGUAGGAUUGGCAACAUUUGAUGCUAGCAAAUCAGUGGCUUGGGGGGUGUUGUGUUGGGGUUUCAUUCGAACCCACCACCACGAUUUCAAAAGAGGAAAAUGACAGAGAUGAAUAAUACAAGAAGAUGAAGAAGUAGAAAGCGAAGACAAAGAAGAUGAUCUUAUCGGAGGAGCUCAUGGACUGAGGGGCAUAUCGGGAGUCAUCUCUUUUCUUUUCUCUCUCCCAUUCUCUCUCUUAUAGUGGGUUCUAUGCUAUAGUGCUCCUUAAAUAUAUUUUAUAGAAGAUUGAGGAGCAUCCUGGCCAUUGAUUACUUGAGGUUAAUUAAGGGAUUUCCAUCCCAACAGAUUACCAACCGAUGACCCUCAAGAUUUUUUUAUUAUUUUUUUCUGUUACUUCUCUCACUGUUCUUUGAUCCCUUUAGUGCCCACUUUCCUUUGCUGCC
rnacentral:lncRNA from 1 species